GGAACCAGAUUUCCUGGGUUGGACUCUGAACUCUGUUUUUUACCAUAAAUGUGAUCUAAGGUAAGUUUUUAAGCUAUCUGUACCUCUCUUUCUUGGAAGCAAGGAUGAUAUUAGUUACCUAUGUCCUAGGGUUAAUAUGAGGAUUAAAUUAGUGAACACGUAUAAAGUACUUAGACUAAUAUCUGAUAUGUAGUUAAGUGCUAUAACAAAAGAACAUUACUUGUUCUUUUUUAACUAUUGCAUUGCCCUCCACAGUAUGUAUGGACUAUAAUAUAUGUAAUCAUUCCUGUAUGAAUAGAAAUUUUGUUGGUAUCAAGGUUUUGGUAUUAUAGACAAUGCUACAAAGAACAUUCCUGUUGUGCCUCCUUGUGCACAUGUUUGUCCACACAUUGGUUCAAGGAGUAGAACUGCUGAGUUAAAGGACAUUUGUAUGUAAAAGUUCUAAUUUUUAUCUAUUGCAAUGGAUAUCCACAGUACAAAUGUCAAAAUGUGCAAAAGGUCAUAUAGUAAAAGUCUUUCUUCCCACUCUAUGUGAUAUCAGAGAUGUUGAUUAUAAGGCUUUUAAAUUUCCUUUAUACUAAUUUAUACUUCUGAUGCUAGCCAGGACCUAGAAUCUGAAUCGUAAAUUUCUUCUCUGGCUGACACCAUCGUCAUCAUCAUCAUCGUCGUCAUCAUUGUCACCUUUAUAAAUUUAUUAGGAACCUUAUAAAUGAUAUUAGAUACUUCAUUUUACCUAGCCUUCCCUAUUCCAUUUUCCUGCUUUAUAUUACUUAAUUUUGUCUUAUUCUUUUUCUAAGAUUCUAAGUGCUUCUUAUUUUUACACAAGUCCUUUAGUAAAGAGCACAUAGAUUUUUAAAACAAAAGAUCUAGAAUAAAAACACUGUUUUGUCACUUAUUUGCAUUAUGUAGCCUUUGCUAAGUUAAAUUCUCUGAGCCUAUAAAAUGGGAACAAUAAUGUCUACCUAUGAGAUUAGUAUUGAGUUACAUAUAUAAAUAUAAAUAUAUGUGUCACUCCCUACAUGUCAGGUACUUUACAUGCACUAUCUCUAACUCUUGAAGUAGUCACAAGCAAGAUUAAUAGGAAGGCAAAUGCAGCAGACUAUGAGAAAAUCAAGGAGAUAGUAGGAGAUGGACGCGGUGUAGAAAAUCACCAAACUAAGACCUGAACUUUGAGUUGGAAGAAGUUGAGAGUGGUGGGUAUUGGCAGGAAGCGUUUAGGCAGAGCCAAAAAAGCAUGUGUAGAGGUCCUGAGGUUAGAGAAAACUUAGUUACUCAAGGAACUGAAAGAAAUAGAGAAAUUUAGGACCAUGGAAAAUAAAGGAGAGAGUGAUAGCAGAUGGGGCCAAAAAUAAUUAUUUUGAAUUCCCGUCUUUCCUUUCUGGUUUUGGAGAGUGUUUUGUGUAGACGUGAUUGUUGGAGCUGUUCUCGCCAUCUUUCUGCCCUGAGAAAGACACUGAAAGGAUGGCAAGAGGCUGGACACUUGAAGACAUCACUGAACUACUGAGCCAACUCUGGAAGUGCUCACCUCUGGACUAAUUUAUCUUAUUAGAUAAUAAAUAUCCUUAUUGAUUAAGACAAUUUUAGUUGAAUAUCCCGACCACUGAAGGCAUCUUAACUGAUUAUAUUUAAUGAAAGAGGAAGAUCACACAGGGCUUUGUAGAUCCUAUUAAAGAUCUGGAAUUUAAUUCUAAGGGUUAUGGAGAGCCAUUAAAUGCUUUUAAGCAUGUGGUGAAUUUUGCUUUUCAAGAGAUCACCUUAGCUGCAAUGUGGAUAAUAGAUUGAACAGUGGCAAUAGUGGAGGCAAGUGUAGGAGAUACAAACUAUUGCAACAGGUAACACAAGAGAAUGCAAUGAUUUAAAACAUGUGGUUGCCAUGGGAAUAGAGAAAAAUGAACCUGUUCAAGAGAUACUGAGAGAUACAUUGGAGGCAGAAUUAUGAAUUGGGAUUGUGAUUGAUUCGAUGUGAAUGAGGAAGAGGAAGAAAUCAAGAUGGCUCCCAGGCAUCUGGAUUGAGCAACCAGCUAGAUUGUAGUGCCAUUUACUAAGACAGGGAUAAACAGCUGGAAGUAGAACAGGUGGGAGAUUACUAUGAUGAGUUCAUUAUUGGACUUGUUGAACUGAAGGUGCCUGAAGCAAUGAGGUGGUUACGUCAAGUAAGCAGUUGGACAUCUGAGUGGCUCAGAAUAGAGAUAAAGACUUAAGAGUCUUUGGAACCCAGAUGGUAACAGAAUCUAUGUGAUCUUUGAGAUUCUUAGGGAGAGGGUGAGGAAUGAGAAAAGGCCCUACAACAGAAUCCUAGGGCCUCCAGCACUUAGUUUUUCCAUGGAAAAGAAGAAGCCAGUGAAGGAGACUGAGAAGAACAGAAAGAAAGAGGGAAAGUCAAAGAGUUUCUACAAAGAAGGCGUGCUCGACAAAGAAGGUGUGCUCAACACCUACAAAUGCAGUUGAGAAGUCAAGGAAGAAAAAGACUGAAAAGAUUCUGUUGGAUUUAGCCACAUGAAGGCCACAGGUGACUGGUGAAGAAGCAACUUUUAGACAGAUGGAAGUGGAGUGGUUCAGUUCAGAACCCAGUUUGGACUGGAUAAAGAGAGGAAAAUUCAGAAAUGGAGACAGAUGGUAAAGAAGCAGGUCAAGAAAUUUGGCCUUUAAGAGGACAUAGGGCAGGAGCUGAGGGACAAGUGGAAUCAAGGGAGGGUUUUGUUUUUCUUUUAAAGAUAAGGAUGGCUAUCUUUCCUUUACCUCUAUAGCCAAUUCAUUAGCAAGCCGCUUUAGGUCUUUCUCUUAAAUGUAUCCCAAGUCUGUCCAUCUCUCACCUUCAACCCAGAUAACUCACUGGUUUCAGCCACCGUCAUCCUCACCUGGAUUAAUUCCGUAGUCUCCAACUGGUUUCUCUGCUUCCAUUUUUAUUUUGUUCUUGUCUUUUUGAAAUCCUAAGGUAGUCAUGGUAAAUGAAAUCACGGUUUUGAAAUAUAAUCCAAACUCUUGGUCUUGGCUUAUGAGAUUGAGUAUAUAUGAUCAGACUCUUCUCCUAUCUUACAUGCCAUCUACCCCACUGUCCCCCUGUGUUCUGGCUCCACGGGCUUCUUUCUGCUCUUUGUUGCUUUCUCACUCACUGGUCUCAGUGCUUAGCAAGCUUCUUCCUACAUCUUUGAAUGGCUGACCCCCUUUCAUUAUUCAUGAUUGCUCAAAUGACUUUUUUGCCUCAUCCAAAUAGUCUUCUCUGACCUUCUUAUCCUCCCCAUCCCCAUCCUCAGUCUUGUUUUACCCUAUUCAUGGCUCUUAUCAUCUGAAAUGAUCUGGUUCAUUUAUUUGUUGAUUAUAUCUUCUCAUUAAAAUUAAAGUCUGGGGGAAACUGGGUAAGGUUUAUAGGAUUAAUAUGUAUUACAUGUAUUACUGCAUGAUAUAUGUGUAUAUUAUAUAUUACUAUGUGUUAUGUGUAAAUGAUAAGCAUGUGAAUCUGAUUAUCUCAAAAUAAAUGUUUUCGGUUUUGUUUUUUUUAAGUAAGUUCUGUGAAAACUGGCAUUUUGUCUCCUUGUUGGGAACUGUGUCACCAUCACCAGAAUGAAGUCUGGCAUACAGUGGGCACUAAAGAAGUCUUAUUAAAUGUGUGACUUAAUAAAUGAUAUAUUUGGUCAUGUGUAAAAGAGAAUGGGGCGAAGAGUACCAACAAUAGCAGGAGACCCUGAGCCAAGGAAACCCGGGUCGUAGAAUUUAGCACUAGAAUCCUUGUCUUACAGUUGAAAUUCGAAUCCGGGUUUCCAGAACCCUUUCACCGCCCCAUACUACCUCUCCAUUAGUGGAGUAUUGAUUAGAUGACUGAAGUCCUGGCGACACUCGAUCAAAUUUCGUCUUUGUAGCCUAUGGUGAUUCCCACAGUGCAGGGCAGAUAGGACCAGCACCUUACGUGUGGGGUCUGGUUCCCAUAAAGCAUGACCAGGCCCGCACUCUCUGUAACUUGCAAGACUGGGUAAGGAGGCUGUGUGCAAUAGCCUGGAAGGCUCACUGAAGCGCAGGUCCUCAGCUCUGCAGUUGAGGUUUCAGGUUUCAGUUCUCCCAGGAGCACGAGAUGUCGCAGCGUGCACGGUGCGGCUGCCGCCUCCGCCUCUCCGUCUCCGCUAAGGCUGCGCUCGAAAGCCAGUUCCAGGCGCGGCCGCGCACACUCUUCUGCCCUAGACGAAGGUUGGGCGCCGUGGCUGAGGCUGCUGCUAAGCUGCCGUAGCUGGGCGCGCUGGGAGGCGGCGAGCACAGCUGGGCCGGGACUUCCUUCCUCUACCGCAGAACAACAAAACAACCCGGCAGCAGGCACUGAACUCUUGGCAGCUGUCUGGGCGAGAGGCGCAGCCAUGGGCUCCGUGCUUAGCAGCGAUAGCGGCAAAUCCGCCGCCGCCUCGGCCGCUCCGCGGGCCCUGGAGCGCAGGGGGGACCCGGAGCUGCCCGUCACGUCCUUCGACUGCUCCGUGUGCCUCGAGGUGUUGCACCAGCCCGUCCGGACCCGCUGUGGCCACGUAUUCUGCCGUUCCUGUAUCGCUACCAGUCUAAAGAACAAUAAAUGGACCUGCCCUUAUUGCCGGGCAUAUCUUCCUUCAGAAGGAGUUCCAGCAACUGAUGUAGCCAGAAGAAUGAAAUCAGAGUACCAGAACUGCGCUGAGUGUGACAGCCUGGUUUGCCUCAGCGAAAUGAGGGCACACAUAAGAUCUUGUCAGAAGUAUAUAGAUAAGUAUGGACCACUGCAAGAACUUGGGGAGACGGCAACAAGGUGUGUGUGUCCAUUUUGUCAGAGGGAACUGGAUGAAGACAGCUUGCUGGAUCACUGUAUCACUCAUCACAGAUCAGAAAGGAGAUCUGUGUUCUGUCCACUCUGCCGAUUACUACCUAAUGAAAAUCCAGGCAGCUUCAGUGGCAGUUUAAUAAGACAUUUGCAAGUCAAUCACACUUUGUUUUAUGAUGAUUUCAUAUAUGAUUCAGGGCUGGUCAGGAGGAAGCGACUUUGAUGAGAGUACUUUCAACCCACUCAAAACCAUAUUCUUGGAUGUGGAAAUAAGGAUUUUAAUAUAAUUGAGGAAGCUCUUAUCCGAAGGGUUUUAGACCGGUCACUUCUGGAAUAUGUGAAUCACUCAAACACCACAUAAUUUUAUUCAAAGGAAAGGAGAGGAGACCAUUCAAUUGCACCAUUUGUUAAGAUGCUGCUCGAACAAUUGGAGGGAAAUUGUCAAUGUUCGAUGGGCAAAAAUGUACAACACAGUUAUAUGUUUGUCUAUGUUUAUUGUUAUAUUGCAUUUUAAAACUGCUUUCAUUGGGAUGGCUUAAAUCUGUUUUACAUUCUUGACUUUCUUAGACACUUAACAAAAAAUAGUCUCCAUCAGCCACCAAGGUAUAGAAGAGAACAUGAGGCAGGAUAUGUGGGUGAACGAUCUUUACUUGCAAAUUGGAUGAUACUAUGUGUAAUGCUAUAGAUUAAUAACUAUCAUCAUAGUUGGGCAAGAUAACUUAUAUUUGUUCUAUGUAAAAAUAUGGAGAUUGAAACCAAGUAUGGACAUUCAAGGAAACCUGAAAUCUGCUCUAGUGCUUGUCUAAUCUCUAAUAGAAUAAUAUGGGUAGCCUUGUAUCAAAGUAGGAAAGGAAAAUCUUGGAAGUCAACAAAGUCCGCUUAACCAAAUUAUAAAACAUAAUACUGUAAACAAAGUAAAUGUUGUGUUAACAAUGUAUACUUAAUCCUUUGACUUUUUAUAACUAUGCACAAUAAGAAUUUAGUAUUAUAUUUUUCAAAUAUUUGUAGCUUAUUAUUUAGAAAUAUUUCUAUAAUAUAGGUAAUUUCUUAAGGACCUUUAGCUGAUAUUUAUAGAAGUGUUCAUAUUCAUAAUUUUUAGUGGAAAAUCCUAAGGGCUUUGAUUUUUUUUUUUUUACUUUUAUCUUUUAGAAAAAAUAAAAUAAAAUAUAAAUACUGAAAACCAAACAGAAAAUGUAGGAAACAGUUUUAGAACUCUGCCAGCCACUCUGGAUGUCCUCUGUGUAUCCACUCACAGUUAUUAGCUGUCUUCCACAGGAGUAACCACUACAGUGCUAUCAAUACCUAAGUGUGUAUUUUUAAUCUGUAGGUUUUUUCUUUUCCUUAAAAUGUAUUAUUAGUUAAGAACUUGGUCUGGAUAGAGUUAUCCACAGCCUGUAUUUUACUGUUUGCAUACUCAUGGUGCAAUUCAGCAUGUUCCUCUUUCCUCUGAAUAUUGACACAUGGAUCCAAAUAUAAUAGACUCAGGUUCAAUCCUUUUUGGCAAGAUUAUAGGUCAUGGUGUGUUCUUUCAUCAGAGGGCACACAAUGUCUGGUUCUCUCUUUUCGUGAUGUCAGCUGAAAUUGAUACUCAAUGCCUUGAUCCAUUGAUUUAUUGUAAGUUGGAGGAUAUUCUAACCCUAUCAUUUCUCUUUCAUUUAUUAGUUGGAACAUUUUUAUAAAGAGAUGUUUCCCCACAUCUACUAUUUGGUUGACCAACGGUCAGAUUUGUAUAGGAAAGGGAAAGUAAAUGUUUGUAUUUUCCCUUUAUUUACUAAUUUUCAAGAUAAUAAACUUGUUUCCUAUUUCUUCCAGAGAUCACUUUUUCUUUUUUUUUUUUUCAGUGUUAUGAACUCAUGGAUUCAAACAUGUUUGAUAGGCCUCAACCCAUUUUAAAUAUUACCUUAUUGAAGUUCAAAUUGUCCCAUAUCUGGCUAUUGGGAGCCACCCCAAGUUGGUGCUGAGUCGUUUUGACACUACACUAGCCAUCUUUAAUAGUUUCCUUGCUAUCUCAGAAGAUCCAGGCUCAACUUGUGUGUUAUUUGCCCCAGACCUGGAAUCAGCCAUCUCUCUAAAAAGCUUGGUUACUUUCAGUGAGAAAUGGCAUUUCAAAAUCAUAAUCAGGACUCUAUGCAUGCUCAUUGCUAGUAGCUUAGCCAUGGUUUCUAGGAGAGAGCUAGGAAAUACCAAUUUUUUUUUCACAAGAUAAGACACUUUCUGAGUUUAUUGUAAAACCUCCAAGUCAAGUUGAGUACUACAGGGAUUUUACUUAAUCCUUCCUGUUACUACUAUAUCUCCAUUUUCUACACCGAGAAUCUUGGUUUUCAAGGACACAGGGCAUGAUAGAGUUAGACUAUCCCACAAUUAUUCACUUCCUUUAUUUACCUUACACAUGCAGCAGCCUCAGAAUAACAACGCUAAAACCACCAUCACCAAUAUGGUAGCUGAAACAAUUAAAAUUUUUUCAUUUGCUCUACCCAUUCUCUAUUUUUAAAAGUCAUACUAUGUCAGCAUUUCCAGAACAUACUGGUAUAACAUACUAUACUGUCUCCCUUCUAUCCCCCAUUUAGUCUUACUUCUUCAAAUAACUAUAUAUAUAGUGCUUGUCACUGGUGGUUACCUGAUGACUCUGUUUUUUCAUAUCUGGAUCUUUAAUGAUGAAUCCAGGACAUAGAAUGAUGUUUCUGUAUUGAAAGGAAGAAAAGGAAGCUAUGAAGACUAGUGAUAACAACUGAGGAUAAAAUAUUUGGCUAUACUUAGCUUUUUAAUUGUAAUCAUUAUAAACUUUAUUUCUUACACAUAAAUGUAGUCAUAAUCACGCUGCCCCAAAUGUUUUAUAAUUAUCCAUUUCUUCUUUAAAGUCUUGCUUACUAUUCUGCCAUCCUCUGUGAGGUAAUUAGAAAAACAUAAAACCGGAUGAAAUCUAGAGGGCCUUAUUUCCUCUCUUUUAGAUACUGGCUUCAAGCUUGCUUUUUACAGCUGCAAACAAGUAGGAAGAGAUUUUUAGUUUCACAAGCUCUAGUCCUGCAAUUUGGAUGGACCAUCCAAUAAAGCAAAACCUGCUAGACGACAAGUACAAAAAGAGAGGCAUUUUUCAAAGAUAACCAGACUGAAAAUCUAGUCCCUAAAAAUAAAAAAAAUAAUAAUAAUAAUAGUAAUAAUUUAUUUCUGAGCAUUCGUACUGAUUAUCCAGAAAAAUAAAGCUUUAUUCAGAGCAACACAAAGGGCAUCUUUACAUCUGUAAAACAAAAAAACUUCAAAACGUUGAAAACCAUAUUUUAAGGCAAGCUUUAGAUCCUUUACCACUAUUAACUUCAGCACAGCAAUUCUGCAUCCUGUCCCUGGAUUCCUCUUAGGAUAAUUUUGCCACCUACAGGACAAACGAGGUGCUGGCCGCCUGAAUUAUUUUGCCUUCUGAAUUAAUUAUCUUGAGGUCUAACAUGGUGAAGUGCAAAUACUCAUUGUUUCACUGUGCCUUUAACCUUUUAUAAAAAGGAAUUGACAAUUCAUUGUUUCAAAAAAAUGAAAACCGUAAAUCAAACUGUCAUACUGUACAUCUUAAACAUAAGUAUACAGUGAUGUAUGUCCGUUAUUUCUCAAUCAAACCAGGGGUUUGGGGGGGUGGGGUGGGAUGAGAACCAGUAUUUGAAGCUGUUGACUAUUAACAAAAUAUUUUACUUUCUCUAUAGUGCUUCAAGAUGCAAUUUUUUCAAGGCCUUAUAAAGGAAAAACUGGUUCACGUGUUACUCUUUAAAGAUCAAAUUCUUCUAACCCAACACAAACCUACGGAGAUUUUCCUUUGUGGGCUUUUUAGCCCAAGUUUCUAAAUUGUAGCUUGAAAAAUUGGAUUGUGAAUCUAGGAUAAAGAGAGUUUCAGAUCAGAUCUCCUAAGAGAGAUCUGCUUUGUUUCUUUACCUGGUGUUAGGUGUCUUUCAUUUCGAAGUGAGUGUACUCCAGUUAUUCAAUGUUUACCAUAUCAUUUGUACCUUUAAACAUUGAUUUUAGGGAUUUUAAAAAGUCACUGAGAAAUUCGUUCCUUUAUUACUCAACUACAACAACAAAUCUGUAUAGUGAUCAGAAUUUAAAAUGUACAAUUCUUUUUCUUCUGUAAAUAUGUAUUAUUGUUAGAAAUAAAGAAUGGCAGGACCAUUGCUUUCAUUAAAAUA